rnacentral:rRNA from 1 species
CCUACGGGGGGCAGCAGUGAGGAAUAUUGGUCAAUGGACGCAAGUCUGAACCAGCCAUGCCGCGUGCAGGAAGACGGCUCUAUGAGUUGUAAACUGCUUUUGUACGAGGGUAAACGCAGAUACGCGUAUCUUUCUGCAAGUAUCGUACGAAUAAGGAUCGGCUAACUCCGUGCCAGCAGCCGCGGUAAUACGGAGGAUUCAAGCGUUAUCCGGAUUUAUUGGGUUUAACGGGUGCGUAGGCGGUCGGAUAAGUUAGAGGUGAAAUCCCGAGGCGCAACUGCGGAAUUGCCUCUGAUACUGUUCGGCUAGAGAGUAGUUGCGGUAGGCGGAAUGUAUGGUGUAGCGGUGAAAUGCUUAGAGAUCAUACAGAACACCGAUGGCGAAGGCAGCUUACCAAGCUACGUCUGACGUUGAUGCACGAAAGCGUGGGUAUCAAACAGGAUUAGAUACCCCUGUAGUC